UACGUAGGGGGCGAGCGUUGUCCGGAUUUAUUGGGCGUAAAGAGCGUGUAGGCGGCCAGGCAGGUCCGUUGUGAAAACUCGAGGCUCAACCUCGAGACGUCGAUGGAAACCAUCUGGCUAGAGUCCGGAAGAGGAGAGUGGAAUUCCCAGUGUAGAGGUGAAAUUCGUAGAUAUUGGGAAGAACACCGGUGGCGAGGGCGGCUCUCUGGACCGAGACUGACGCUGAGGCGCGAAAGCGUGGGGAGCAAACAGG
rnacentral:rRNA from 1 species